GUGAGGAAUAUUGGACAAUGGGCGCAAGCCUGAUCCAGCCAUGCCGCGUGCAGGAAGACGCAUCUAUGGUGUGUAAACUGCUUUUGUACGGGAAGAAACACUCCCUCGUGAGGGAGCUUGACGGUACCGUAAGAAUAAGGAUCGGCUAACUCCGUGCCAGCAGCCGCGGUAAUACGGAGGAUCCAAGCGUUAUCCGGAAUCAUUGGGUUUAAAGGGUCCGUAGGCGGUUUAAUAAGUCAGUGGUGAAAGCCCAUCGCUCAACGAUGGAACGGCCAUUGAUACUGUUAGACUUGAAUUACAAGGAAGUAACUAGAAUAUGUAGUGUAGCGGUGAAAUGCUUAGAUAUUACAUGGAAUACCAAUUGCGAAGGCAGGUUACUACUUGUGGAUUGACGCUGAUGGACGAAAGCGUGGGGAGCGAACAGGUUUAGAUACCCCUGUAGUCC
rnacentral:rRNA from 1 species